rnacentral:tRNA from 1 species
UGAAGUAUAGUCAAGUGGUAAGACAUUGGUUUUUGAUAUCACAAUUCAAAGGUUCGAAUCCUUUUACUUCAA